rnacentral:rRNA from 1 species
GCAAGUCUGGUGCCAGCAGCCGCGGUAAUUCCAGCUCCAAUAGCGUAUAUUAAAGUUGUUGCAGUUAAAAAGCUCGUAGUUGAACCUCGAGAUCAAUGGAUCGGUCAUGCCAUCGGUAUGUACUGGUCUCAUUGGUUCUCACCUUCUAAGGAACCAUGAUGUCAUUCAGUUGAUGUUGUGGGGAAUUAGGACUGUUACCUUGAAAAAAUUAGAGUGUUUAAAGCAGGCUAACGCUUGAAUACAUUAGCAUGGAAUAAUGAAAUAGGACAUCGCAUUCUAUUUUGUUGGUUUCUAGGAUCGAUGUAAUGAUUAAUAGGGAUAGUUGGGGGCAUUAGUAUUCAAUUGUCAGAGGUGAAAUUCUUGGAUUUAUUGAAGACUAACUACUGCGAAAGCAUUUGCCAAGGAUGUUUUCAUUAAUCAAGAACGAAAGUUAGGGGAUCGAAGACGAUCAGAUACCGUCGUAGUCUUAACCAUAAACUACGCCGACUAGGGAUCGGAUGAUGUUGAUUUUUUAAUGACUCAUUCGGCGCCUUACGGGAAAC